rnacentral:sRNA from 1 species
AAUAUCGGUCCGAUGUCUCUGAGUUAUCCCUUAACGACCUUCCCAUUGACACCAACUUGACCGUUAU